rnacentral:rRNA from 1 species
UGGGUUCAGAACGUCGUGAGACAGUUCGGUCCCUAUCCGUCGCAGGCGUAGGAAAUUUGAGAAGACCUGUCCUUAGUACGAGAGGACCGGGAUGGACGUAUCUCUGGUGUACCAGUUGUCCUGCCAAGGGCAUGGCUGGGUAGCUAUGUACGGAAUGGAUAAGCGCUGAAAGCAUCUAAGCGCGAAGCCAACUUCAAGAUAAGAUUUCCCACCGCAAGGGUAAGACCCCAGAAAGACUAUCUGGUUGAUAGGUCGAAGGUGUAAGUGCAGCAAUGUAUUUAGCUUAUCGAUACUAAUAGGUCGAGGACUUGACCAAU